rnacentral:rRNA from 1 species
UAGUAAUCGCGAAUCAGCAUGUCGCGGUGAAUACGUUCCCGGGCCUUGUACACACCGCCCGUCACACCAUGAGAGUUGGCAAUACCCAACGUACGUGGUCUAACCCGCAAGGGAGGAAGCGUCCUAAGGUAGGGUCAGCGAUUGGGGUGAAGUCGUAACAAGGUAGC